rnacentral:rRNA from 1 species
UACGAAGGGGGCUAGCGUUGUUCGGAAUCACUGGGCGUAAAGCGCACGUAGGCGGAUCUUUAAGUCAGGGGUGAAAUCCCGGGGCUCAACCUCGGAACUGCCCUUGAUACUGGGGAUCUCGAGUCCGGGAGAGGUGAGUGGAAUUGCGAGUGUAGAGGUGAAAUUCGUAGAUAUUCGCAAGAACACCAGUGGCGAAGGCGGCUCACUGGCCCGGUACUGACGCUGAGGUGCGAAAGCGUGGGGAGCAAACAGG